GUGAAGUCCAGCUCCCCAGCCUUUAGGUCAGACUGUAACUUGCAGAUGUAAAGCCUGCUGAAACAUGGAUUUCCUCUGUUGUUACAGAAUCGGAUCAGCUAAGAGCUCUUGACUGCAAUGGAGUGUGAAGAUGAAACAACCUCAGAAGAUCUCCGACAAUAGCGGAAGUUUAUAGUGAAAGGCUUGAAAGAGAGAGAAAGAAAACCAGGAAGAACACAGUCACCAAGAAGACCCUUGCACUGAGACGAAGCAAUGUAAGCUGAAGAGACUGAAACUCCACAGACAUUGGGUGUAUCGGCCAGCAUCGUCAAUAGCAGCUCCUGAAAUAUCCAGAAGGAAUUUCCACCUGAUGACCUCACUUCCUGGACCCGCCCCUUCUGACCUCACCUCUUUGUAUAACCUCAUCAGUUCAUUCGUGAGCUCCAUCUGUAAAGACAUAUCUGCCAAU